UAGCAGCACGUAAAUAUUGGCGUGUAAAAUCAGAAAUCAACCCCAAUAUUAGCAGUGCUGCUUCA
rnacentral:pre_miRNA from 1 species